GGACUACCCGGGUAUCUAAUCCUGUUCGCUCCCCACGCUUUCGCUCCUCAGCGUCAGUACCGGCCCAGACCACCGCCUUCGCCACCGGUGUUCCUCCUGAUAUCUGCGCAUUUCACCGCUACACCAGGAAUUCCGUGGUCCCCUACCGGACUCAAGCCAUGGCAGUAUCGGGUGGCGUCUCCAGGUUGAGCCUGGAGUUUUCACACCCGACUUGCCAAGCCGCCUACGAGCUCUUUACGCCCAAUGAAUCCGGACAACGCUCGCCCCCUACGUAUUACCGCGGCGGCUGGCAC
rnacentral:rRNA from 1 species